CAAAUUUCCAGAGUGAAGAUGUGAUGGCUGAAGAUGGAUGAAGUCCAGUAAGAAUCAUGACAUCCAUGUUUGGUGGUACCUCACAGUUAUUUGUGAUAGCAGUCACAGAGAGCUGAAUUUCCAAAUAUAUGAAAGGUACUUCUUCAUUUGAAUACAUCGGGAGGAAAGUUCAUGGUUCCGAGAGACAGAC